AGUCGGAGGAAGGUGUGGAUGACGUCAAGUCCUCAUGGCCCUUACGGGUUGGGCUACACACGUGCUACAAUGGCAGUGACAAUGGGUUAAUCCCAAAAAGCUGUCUCAGUUCGGAUUGGGGUCUGCAACUCGACCCCAUGAAGUCGGAAUCGCUAGUAAUCGCGUAACAGCAUGACGCGGUGAAUACGUUCCCGGGCCUU
rnacentral:rRNA from 1 species